AUGCUGAAGGUGGGAGGCUUGGGACCCUGGUUCAAAUCUUGACCUUGCCACUUGUGGACCUCCAAAAGGUCACUCAGCUCGGGGCCUCAGUUUUUCCAUUGUUUAAUGAGGGAGAUUUGGCUUAAGAUCAGAGAUCUGAUGCCUGAAGAGUUUUUUCCUUUUUUCCUAACUCCUAAUCUGUGGUCCUAUGAUGGAAGGGGGAGAGGAGGCUAAUUAGUUCACUCAUCAUGCUUUUACAUGGAUGAUCUCAGGCCUGGAGAGUUUUUGGAAUAAUAAUCACAAGGAAUUUCAGAGCUCAGCUAGCCGACGGCGCACCUGAGCAGAAAGUUCAGCAAAUGGUCCGUCUUCCCAGCUGGGCUUGAAGCCUAUAGCAGAGGGGACCCUGCCCGUUCCACCUGGGGCCAGCUAGCAGUCAGCACCAUGUUGCUUACAAGUAGCAGCGAUCCAUCUGUUGGCAUCUUCUUCCCAUGGCUCCUCGUUCUGUUCUCUGGGGCCGAACGCAUGGGCCUCCCUUCACGUGACGGCCUCUGAAAUGCUUGAAGAGAAUUCUCAAAUUCCUCCUCAGGCUUCUCUGGGCUGGACGUUCCCGAUUCCUUCUGAGGAUCUCACAAAACGUGGUCUUGAAACGCCCCCGCCCUCCUGGUCACCCUCCCUUGGAUGAACCAGUCUAUGUGUCCUUCCUCACCCAGGGUCCCAGAACUGAAUAUGUGAAGUCUGAAGUUGAAUCAUCCUUCUUGGCUUUCAUGUUCCUUCGGUGACUCAUAGUGAGGUCAUACUGUUGAAUUCUUAUCGACAGUUCACAUUUCUAUAGUGCGUUAGGGUUUAAAACUUUCGUCCUGCCCCCUUGAAAUAGGCAGUAAAAAUGCUGCUCUCCCCAACUGACAGGUGAGGAAACUGAGGCAACUGAUCACAGGUCUAAUAGGUAUUUGAGUCAGGCUAAGCUUGGGAGCUCCAAGUUAAAAAGAGAUUUUAGAGGCCUUCUAGGCUAAUCCUUUGCAUACCUAGCCCAAUGCUUGGCACGUAGUAGGUGCUCAAUCAAUGCUUGUCAAGUGAUUAAGUUUCCUUCACAACGAGAUAUCCUAACAAAUGCCAUACUAUCCAAGGCCUAAGGACUACAGUUCUCCUAAAACAACUUCUUGAAUUGGGAGGAUGUAGAUUCCCUUUUAUUGGAUGUUCUUCAAUUCAAGGAUGAAGGAGGACUGGUCAGGUAGGGGAUGGAGGUCAGGUAUGGCCAAAAUGACCUAGGAAACCUUUUAGGCUCUUUGAUUCUUGGAAGAAAGGCCUACUCUGUUAAUGACUUGAGACCUCUGAAGCCUGUGCUCUGUCAGGAAGCAGGUUUUGAUGUGACCGUUGGGAUGAUAGUCAUUAUUCCCGGAUCAAGAAUUUAUAAAGUGCUUAUCAUGUGCCAAACACUCUCCUAGACCAUGGAGAAAAAGCCUUCAGGAAGCUUUUACCUUUAUUUGGAAGAGAGCUCUCAGAGUAAAGCAUUUAAUGCUACCUCAAUAAACUUUAUAGCAGUGGAAAGUUUGCAGAGCUCUUUACGUGACCUCAUUUGACCUUCACAACAACCCUUUGGUGUAGAUUAUUAUCCCCCAUUAUCCCCAUUUUAUGGGGGAGCAACCUGGCCCAGAAAGCCCAGCGCCUUGCCAGUGAGCGUUGGCGGGUGCCCCGACUCCCAAAGCCAAUGCUCUCUGCACAGGGGUAGGCCGCCCUCUGUAUAGUUUGAUAAACCGAGUCAUUUCAGGAGGCUGAGCAGUGUUCUAACUAGAAAAAGCGAAAGUGGGCCUUGGUCCAAACCUUUCUCUAAAAAAGUUCAAUCGCAUUUUGCCCCCUGUUCCAGCCACAAGCCACUGGUGUGUAGUAGUAGUGUAGCAGGAGGAGCUGGGUUCUAGUUCUGCUUUGCCACUCGCUGCUUGUAUGAUCCUGGUCAAGUACCUCUUGCUUCCCAUAAAACAGGAAGAAUGUUAGCCCUCCCUAUCAAGGUGUAGAGGUGGAAAAACACAUUUGACUUACUGGAUAUGUGGGAUUUUCAUUCCCUCUAGAUCCUCGGGAUCCCAAAUUUAGAGCUGGGAAGGACUCCAGAGGUUCUCUAGUCAUUGACUAAUAAUAUUGAAUUGAUAGUGAAUAAUAAUUUAGAAAUGGGAGAGGGUCUAGUCCAACCUCCUCAUUUUACAGGGGGAGAAAAUGAGGCCCACAGCCGUUGACUUGCCCGAGGUGGGAUUCUAAGUUUAACAUAAUGGAUAACGUUGCCCCCAAAAGAGACGUCAGGGAGGUGACACCGUGAUGGGCAAGUGAAGUGGAUUUCAGGGGGCUCUGCGAGGUCACCUGCCUCACUUUCCCUCUGGAGCCCCCUGGGCCGGAUAGAGAUCAGGAUGCCUGGAGAUGGCGCUUCCUGGCCAGCAGUUGAACCCGGGCACUGGCCUGAGCAGCGUGUCCAAGGUUAUCAGGGAGCCAAGAUUUAAGCCUGGCCUUUUGACUUUGAAUGGGAUGCUCUUUCUCCUAACCACAUUUCCCCCAUUUCUUAUGACAGGCGUGGCCUUGGUGUCCUCCAGGGCCCCUUCCAGCUCUGGCCUUUCCCGAGCAGGGCCGAGAGGGACGAGCCCCUCGCCCAGGAGGAGGCGGGGGCCCGGCCUGAAGCCAGCAGGCUCUCGGUAGGCCUUGGCUCGCUCCAGUGCGGGGCUGUUUAUUUUGAGUUCGCAGGCCUGCGCUCCGGUUAUAUUUAUUUUGUGAAGCAACUCAAGAGGAAGGCCCUGCUUGGGCUCCCACCCGCGGAGCCUCCCGGGCAGCCGUCCUGCUCCCCCCGGCCCUGGCCCCAGAGCAGGCUGAGAAGCCUCCGACUCCGCGCUGACGAUUUUAGGAAUAAACAGGACAUUCGUCUUAGGCCGAGCGUUUUACAGGCCCUGGGCACAGGCUGGAGCUCCUUGUCCUGAAACUCCGGUCUGGGGCUCUCCGAGCCCGCCUCCUUUCUGUCCCCCCGGGGCCCCCGAGCAGCCUCCGCGCCGGCUUGUUUCCCCACAGAACAGAAGGCCUGGCUCAUCAGCCCCGGCCCGGAAUAGAGUCACUCCUAAA